rnacentral:rRNA from 1 species
UACGUAGGGUGCAAGCGUUGUCCGGAAUUAUUGGGCGUAAAGAGCUCGUAGGCGGUCUGUCGCGUCGGCUGUGAAAACCGGGGCUCAACCCCGGGCCUGCAGUCGAUACGGGCAGACUAGAGUGCGGUAGGGGAGACUGGAAUUCCUGGUGUAGCGGUGAAAUGCGCAGAUAUCAGGAGGAACACCGGUGGCGAAGGCGGGUCUCUGGGCCGUAACUGACGCUGAGGAGCGAAAGCGUGGGGAGCGAACAGG